GACGAACGCUGGCGGCGUGCCUAAUACAUGUAAGUUGAGCGCUGAAGGUUGGUACUUGUACCAACUGGAUGAGCAGCGAACGGGUGAGUAACGCGUGGGGAAUCUGCCUUUGAGCGGGGGACAACAUUUGGAAACGAAUGCUAAUACCGCAUAAAAACUUUAAACACAAGUUUUAAGUUUGAAAGAUGCAAUUGCAUCACUCAAAGAUGAUCCCGCGUUGUAUUAGCUAGUUGGUGAGGUAAAGGCUCACCAAGGCGAAGAUACAUAGCCGACCUGAGAGGGUGAUCGGCCACAUUGGGACUGAGACACGGCCCAAACUCCUACGGGAGGCAGCAGUAGGGAAUCUUCGGCAAUGGACGAAAGUCUGACCGAGCAACGCCGCGUGAGUGAAGAAGGUUGUCGGAUCGUAAAACUCUGUUGGUAGAGAAGAACGUUGGUGAGAGUGGAAAGCUCAUCAAGUGACGGUAACUACCCAGAAAGGGACGGCUAACUACGUG
rnacentral:rRNA from 1 species